rnacentral:tRNA from 4 species
CGGGGUGUGGCUCAGCUUGGCUAGAGCGCCUGGUUUGGGACCAGGAGGUCGCAGGUUCGAAUCCUGUCACCCCGACGA